rnacentral:rRNA from 1 species
CCUACGGGAGGCAGCAGUGGGGAAUUUUGGACAAUGGGCGCAAGCCUGAUCCAGCCAUGCCGCGUGUGGGAAGAAGGCCUUCGGGUUGUAAACCACUUUUGUCAGGGAAGAAACGGUCUGAACUAAUACUUUGGACUAAUGACGGUACCUGAAGAAUAAGCACCGGCUAACUACGUGCCAGCAGCCGCGGUAAUACGUAGGGUGCAAGCGUUAAUCGGAAUUACUGGGCGUAAAGCGUGCGCAGGCGGCUUUGCAAGACAGAUGUGAAAUCCCCGGGCUCAACCUGGGAACUGCAUUUGUGACUGCAUGGCUAGAGUACGGUAGAGGGGGAUGGAAUUCCGCGUGUAGCAGUGAAAUGCGUAGAUAUGCGGAGGAACACCGAUGGCGAAGGCAAUCCCCUGGACCUGUACUGACGCUCAUGCACGAAAGCGUGGGGAGCAAACAGGAUUAGAUACCCUGGUAGUCCACGCCCUAAACGAUGUCAACUGGUUGUUGGGAGGGUUUCUUCUCAGUAACGAAGCUAACGCGUGAAGUUGACCGCCUGGGGAGUACGGCGCAAGGUUGAAACUCAAAUGAAUUGACGGCUGAGAGUAGCGACGGACGACGACGAGGGAGGAGG